rnacentral:rRNA from 1 species
AUGCCGGAACCCGCCCGCCUCCUUGUCACCAAGGACAAGGACGACAGGGAGUCGACCGAGCCCAACCCUCUCCAUCCCAUCUGGGUGAGGGAGGAUCAACAGGUGCUCGGCUACCUCCUCAACAACCUCUCCAAAGAAGUGCUGAUCACGGUGACCGCGGUCACCAUCGCGCAUGCCCUCUGGGUGGCGCUGGCAGGCAUGUUUUCCUCUCCAUCUCUGAGUCGUGUCAACAACGUUCGCACUACUUUGAUCAAUGCACAGAAGGGCAACCAAUCCGUCGCUGCAUACUAUGCUUUUAUGCGCGGUCUUGCCGAUGAACUCGCCGCGGCCGGCAAGCCCAUCCAGGAUGAUGAGCUCAUCUCCUACCUGAUGCAUGGGCUGGACAUGGACUACCAACCCCUCGUCUCUGCGCUCGACACCCACGUCACGCCGGUCUCCCUCGACGAGCUGUACGCCAUGCUGAACAACUUCGAUCAGUGUGUCGCGCAGUUUCACAGCGCCGGCGGUGGUUUCAAGUCCUUGGCAAAUGCGGCCACCCGCGGGCGCGGCGGGUACUCAUCCCGUCAUUGUGGCCCUCCUCGACACAAGGGCAAGAAAGGCGGUGGCGGCUCCAGCAAUCUUGGCUCCGGCGGCGGACAUCCCAAGUUCACCAGCAACAAGGGUCGCCAUGGCGGGGGCGACAAUGGCGGCGGCGGAUCGGGCAGGUCAUGA